CCUCCAGGUGACUGGCCAAUCAAGAGGCCCGUAGACCAGGUCGCCCGCAGAGCAGCUAUGCAGAGCCGUCAUGCCGUCAUUUCCUGCAUCACUUCCCACCUACCUUCCCUCUGGCUUCACAGAGUCUGUUUACAAGGAGAAGUGAAUGCCGUAUUCUGCUUGGCCUGCAGGCAGCCCAGGACACCAGCGGGGCUCCCUAGCAGCCCUUCUCGAGGGGGAGCUGCUGGCAUUUGGUCAGGACGUGUCUUCAUUGCGCGGGUCUCUUCCGUGAGCUGCAGAGCAUGUGCUGUUGCUGGUGAAUGCUCUUUCCUGAGGACCAACGGGUCAGCCAGAAACACCUUCACACGUUUCAGAUGCCCUCAGGAGGGUAUCAGACCCUGGCUGAGAACGUCGUGUUUACUGCAUUCCUGGAUACAGGGGCUCGAGCCCCAGUUAAUGUUUAACUCACAGAGAAGCUGGAACCCUGGUGAAGGCGUCUUUGUUUGGGCACCGAUGCAGGAUGGAAUGUUGGCGCAGGUCCUCUGGUUGAGCCGCCUGUCCUGCUUUGGCUUGGGGCCCACACGUAAUUCCCUUCACUGUAUCCAUUGGUUCAGCAUCCAGCGUCCACAGGUGUGGUUCUGGGGUGGGGCUGAGCUCACUGUGUGUUCCCUGGAGGUCCAGGGCCAUGUUUUGUUCCUCUGCAGUUCCUCCAGGACCAAGGAUCCGGAGCUCCCUUUGCCCUCAGAACAGAAGGUUAGCCACCAACUCUACCUCCGCCCUAUGCCCUGGGGAGUGGAGCCCCCGUUGUUGGUGGGAUCUCCCCCAGAACCUCCUGCUCUAGGUUGGUCACACAAUAAUGAACCGAGUAAGGACUUGAGCCCAGCUCUCUUCAACUCAAAUUAUGCUCUCAAUCUACUACACCACAGGGUGGGACAACACAGAGCGAGACUCUAUCUCAAAAAUAAUAAUAAUAAUAAUAAUUGUAUUAGAUUAUCUCCCCACCUGAGCCCCCUCAGCCUCAUGACAGCUUGGUGA
rnacentral:lncRNA from 1 species